UACGUAGGGCGCAAGCGUUGUCCGGAAUUAUUGGGCGUAAAGAGCUCGUAGGCGGUUUGUCGCGUCUGCUGUGAAAGCCCGGGGCUCAACUCCGGAUCUGCGGUGGGUACGGGCAGACUAGAGUGAUGUAGGGGAGACUGGAAUUCCUGGUGUAGCGGUGAAAUGCGCAGAUAUCAGGAGGAACACCGAUGGCGAAGGCAGGUCUCUGGGCAUUAACUGACGCUGAGGAGCGAAAGCAUGGGGAGCGAACAGG
rnacentral:rRNA from 1 species